rnacentral:rRNA from 1 species
GCCUCGAUCAGAUUGUGGUUAAGGAACUCGGCAAAAUGCCCCCGUAACUUCGGGAGAAGGGGGGCCUGAGACGUGAACACCCUCGCGGUGGGAGCGUUGGAUGGCCGCAGAGACCAGGGGAAAGCGACUGUUUACUAAAAACACAGGUCCGUGCGAAGUCGUAAGACGAUGUAUACGGACUGACGCCUGCCCGGUGCCGGAAGGUUAAGAGGACCGGUUAGCGCUUCGGCGCGAAGCUGAGAAUUUAAGCCCCGGUAAACGGCGGUGGUAACUAUAACCAUCCUAAGGUAGCGAAAUUCCUUGUCGGGUAAGUUCCGACCUGCACGAAUGGCGUAACGACUUCUCUGCUGUCUCAACCACAGACUCGGCGAAAUUGCAUUACGAGUAAAGAUGCUCGUUACGCGCGGCAGCACCAUGAU